GCAAGAUGCUCUGGGGUCCACUGAGCUCAGCUGCUGAGGCUCAGCUCUUUCUGUGGCUUCUUCUUGAGCAGCCUGUUGACCAAGAUGUGGCCCAUGCCACUCCCUAUAUUCGGAGUCCAUUUUCUGAUGCCCUCUCUCAGCUCUUCGCCUGCACUCAUCUGUGACUGCCUGGUACUGCUAGGAAGCCUCUGUUUGUGUCUCAUCUCUCCAGGUGGACUGGAGCUCCUGGGGGUCCUUUCCUUUGUGGGGGUUCUCAAUAUCAGAAUGGAGUCGCUUAUGUCAAACCCUAACAAAAUGGAGGUGGAGGUCACGAAUUGGAGCCUAUAUGCGUGCCUGUAACAGGACUUGUCACAAGGAAUCCCUGCACAUAUGUGUAUGAUGGGGACUAUGCCAGGAACUCCUCACAUAUGGAGGAUUCGAGAUAGACUGGGAGCUCCAUGAGGUCCGAGACAACCUGAAGACGCCCAGCUCAGCAGAGACUGGCUACGGCAAUCACUCAGUAACUAUUUGUUGAAUUGGACAUAAUAGAAGAGCUGAAGAAUUUUAAACAAGUCACCAUCAGUGCAGUGGAUUCCUCAAAGCAAACCUGGAAAUCUCGGCAUGAGUUGGAUUUAAGGCAGUACAUUUUCAGCUCCUGAAAAUUUGAACAGUUUCUCAAGAGAACAACUUGAAACAGAAAGGCAAGGAUGUAGAUGUGGUUGUAGAAGAUGAUGUCUGCGGCCACCAAACUGUCCACUGUGAAGACAAACCAUGCAUGUUUAGUAGGCAGUGGCUCCUCU
ensembl:lncRNA LINC00649 long intergenic non-protein coding RNA 649